rnacentral:lncRNA from 1 species
GAGAUCCUGAAGAGGGAAAAGGAAGGGCGGGCUGCUGCGGAGAAGCCGGCACCAGGGUGGAAUUUCGGGGUGAAUGAAAUGCUUCAUCUCCCACGUCUGCUGCUUCUCCACGGGCAAGUGCAGGCUGGCCUGGAGGCGUGCAGGGGCCCUCUCUGCCCCUUCAUUGAUUGGUCCACUCCCGAGGACUGGAACGUUUGGCCCGCCUCUGAGGACAGGUCCGGAGCGCCCACCCUGCGGGCCACUGCACUGUUUUGGUGACUGAGAUGAGACCCAUGGCACACCCCACUCACUCUGGAGCCUGCAGACAGCACCCUGA